rnacentral:rRNA from 1 species
GUAAUCCUACGGGGCGCAGCAGUGAGGAAUAUUGGUCAAUGGGCGAGAGCCUGAACCAGCCAAGUCGCGUGAAGGAUGACGGCCCUACGGGUUGUAAACUUCUUUUGUCAGGGAGCAAUUGGGUCCACGCGUGGGCUUAGCGAGAGUACCUGAAGAAGAAGCAUCGGCUAACUCCGUGCCAGCAGCCGCGGUAAUACGGAGGAUGCGAGCGUUAUCCGGAUUUACUGGGUUUAAAGGGUGCGUAGGCGGAAUAUCAAGUCAGCGGUAAAAAUUCGGUGCUCAACGCCGUCGAGCCGUUGAAACUG